UACGUAGGGGGCAAGCGUUGUCCGGAAUCAUUGGGCGUAAAGAGCGUGUAGGCGGUCCGGUAAGUCCGCUGUGAAAGUCAAAGGGCUCAACCCUUGAAUGCCGGCGGAUACUGUCGGGCUAGAGUCCGGAAGAGGCGAGUGGAAUCCUGGUGGUAGCGGUGGAAAUGCGCAGAUAUCAGGAGGAACACCGUAUGCGAAGGCAGCUCGCUGGGACGGUACUGACGCUCAGGCGCGAAAGCGUGGGGAGCAAACAGG
rnacentral:rRNA from 1 species